CGGGUGCACUGAUCCGGCCGGGCCUUUCCCUCUGUGGAACCCCAUGACCUUCACUGGCUGUGCGGGGGAAACAGGACUUUUACUGUGAAAAAAUUAGAGUGCUCCAGGCAGGCCUAUGCUCGAAUACAUUAGCAUGGAAUAAUAGAAUAGGACGCGUGGUUCUAUUUUGUUGGUUUCUAGGACCGCCGUAACGAUUAAUAGGGACAGUCGGGGGCAUCAGUAUUCAAUUGUCAGAGGUGAAAUUCUUGGAUCUAUUGAAGACUAACUACUGCGAAAGCAUUUGCCAAGGAUGUUUUCAUUGAUAAGGAACGAAAGUUAGGGGAUCGAAGACGAUCAGAUACCGUCGUAGUCUUAACUAUAAACUAUGCCGACUAGGGAUCGGACGAUGUUAUUUCUUGACGCGUUCGGCACCUUUCGAGAAAUCAAAGUGCUUGGGCUCCAGGGGGAGUAUGGUCGCAAGGCUGAAACUUAAAGAAAUUGACGGAAGGGCACCACCAGGGGUGGAACCUGCGGCUUAAUUUGACUCAACACGGGGAAACUCACCAGGUCCAGACGCAGUGAGGAUUGACAGAUUGAGAGCUCUUUCUUGAUUCUGUGGGUGGUGGUGCAUGGCCGUUCUUAGUUGGUGGAGUGAUUUGUCUGCUUAAUUGCGAUAACGAACGAGACCUUAACCUGCUAAAUAGCCCGUACUGCUCUGGCAGUUCGCCGGCUUCUUAGAGGGACUAUCGG
rnacentral:rRNA from 1 species